rnacentral:rRNA from 1 species
GUAGGGAAUAUUGGGCAAUGGUCGGAAGACUGACCCAGCCAUGCCGCGUGCAGGAAGACGGCCCUCUGGGUUGUAAACUGCUUUUAUCUGGGAAGAAAAAGGCCAUGCGUGGCAAAUUGCCGGUACCAGAUGAAUAAGCACCGGCUAACUCCGUGCCAGCAGCCGCGGUAAUACGGAGGGUGCGAGCGUUGUCCGGAUUUCUUGGGUUUAAAGGGUGCGUAGGCGGCUGAUUAAGUCAGCGGUGAAAGACUUCGGCUUAACCGGAGCAGUGCCGGUGAUACUGGUUGGCUUGAGUGUCGGAGGGGUACAUGGAAUUGAUGGUGUAGCGGUGAAAUGCAUAGAUACCAUCAGGAACACCGAUAGCGAAGGCAUUGUACUGGCCGACAACUGACGCUGAUGCACGAAAGUGUGGGGAUCGAACAGGAUUAGAUACCCUAGUAGUCC